rnacentral:rRNA from 1 species
AGAGUUUGAUUCUGGCUCAGAAUGAACGCUGGCGGCGUGGAUAAGACAUGCAAGUCGAACGGAAAUAUGAUUAGUUUACUAAGAUUAUUUUAGUGGCGGACGGGUUAGUAACACGUGAGCAACUUACCUCAAAGUGGGGGAUAGCCUUCCGAAAGGAAGAUUAAUACCGCAUGUGGUCUCCGGACCAAAGACUGCUUCGGCAGUCGCUUUGAGAUAGGCUCGCGUCCUAUCAGUUAGUUGGUGAGGUAAUGGCUCACCAAGACUACGACGGGUAGCUGUUCUGAGAGGAAGAUCAGCAACACUGGAACUGAGACACGGUCCAGACACCUACGGGUGGCAGCAGUCGAGAAUCAUUCACAAUGGACGAAAGUCUGAUGGUGCAACGCCGCGUGGAGGAUGAAGGCCCUAGGGUCGUAAACUCCUGUCAUAGCAGAGUAAGGCAUAGAUGUUAAUAGCAUUUAUGUUUGAUAGUAUGCUAAGAGGAAGGGACGGCUAACUUCGUGCCAGCAGCCGCGGUAAUACGAAGGUCCCGAGCGUUAUUCGGAAUCACUGGGCGUAAAGGGAGCGUAGGCGGCGCGGUAAGUCAGAUGUGAAAUCUCAGAGCUCAACUCUGAAACUGCAUUCGAUACUGCCGUGCUAGAGUAAUGGAGAGGUAACUGGAAUUCUCAGUGUAGCAGUGAAAUGCGUAGAUAUUGAGAGGAAGACCAAUGGCGAAAGCAGGUUACUGGACAUUUACUGACGCUGAGGCUCGAAGGCUAGGGUAGCGAAAGGGAUUAGAUACCCCUGUAGUCCUAGCAGUAAACGAUGUGCGCUUGGUGUGGGAGGGUUCGACCCCUUCCGUGCCGGAGCUAACGCGUUAAGCGCACCGCCUGGGGAGUACGGUCGCAAGACUAAAACUCAAAGAAAUUGACGGGGACCCGCACAAGCGGUGGAGUAUGUGGCUUAAUUCGAU